rnacentral:rRNA from 1 species
ACGGAAGGCAGCAGUGGGGAAUAUUGGGCAAUGGGCGCAAGCCUGACCCAGCAAUGCCGCGUGAAGGAAGAAGGCUUUCGGGUUGUAAACUUCUUUUAAGUGGGACGAUAAUUACGGUACCACUUGAAUAAGCUCCGGCUAACUACGUGCCAGCAGCCGCGGUAAUACGUAGGGAGCAGGCGUUAUCCGGAUUUACUGGGUGUAAAGGGCGUGUAGGCGGGACUACAAGUCAGAUGUGAAAGCACGAGGCUCAACUUCGGGUCUGCAUUUGAAACUGUAGGUCUUGAGUGUGGGAGAGGCUAACGGAACUCCUAGUGUAGAGGUGAAAUGCGUAGAUAUUAGGAAGAACACCAGUGGCGAAGGCGGUUAGCUGGACAAUAACUGACGCUGAGGCGCGAAAGCGUGGGGAGCAAACAGGAUUAGAUACCCUGGUA